UACGUAGGGACCAAGCGUUGUUCGGAUUUACUGGGCGUAAAGGGCGCGUAGGCGGCAAUUCAAGUCAGCUGUGAAAUCUCCGGGCUUAACUCGGAACGGUCAGCUGAUACUGCUUUGCUAGAGUGCGGAAGGGGCAAUCGGAAUUCUCGGUGUAGCGGUGAAAUGCGUAGACAUCGAGAGGAACACCUGAGGUGAAGACGGGUUGCUGGGCCGACACUGACGCUGAGGCGCGAAAGCCAGGGUAGCAAACGGG
rnacentral:rRNA from 1 species